ACCUACGGGGGGCAGCAGUGAGGAAUAUUGGUCAAUGGUCGGGAGACUGAACCAGCCAAGCCGCGUGAGGGAUGAAGGUACAGAGUAUCGUAAACCUCUUUUGUCAGGGAACAAAGGCGGGGACGUGUCCCCGGAUGAGUGUACCUGAAGAAAAAGCAUCGGCUAACUCCGUGCCUGCAGCCGCGGUAAUACGGAGGAUGCGAGCGUUAUCCGGAUUUAUUGGGUUUAAAGGGUGCGCAGGCGGUCUGUUAAGUCAGCGGUCAAAGCCCGGGGCUCAACCCCGGCCCGCCGUUGAAACUGGCCGU
rnacentral:rRNA from 1 species